GUGUAUUUGGAAUUGUAGAUACAUCAUUUCGUUGUCAUGUGCUGAAGAUGGGAGUGCUUGAAAGUGCUAUAACUUGGGGAUUGGACUGAUGGCAUUUAUGCAGCUUUAGUAUGUCUGUGAUCAAAGGGGAACUUCGAUGGUUACAGCAUCGAAACAAAAAGACCAACCGGUAGACUUUCAGCUGCCGGGGGAGAAUUUGCAAUGCUUUGCGACAGGAAUCAGUGCCUAAUGUUAUGGAUACAAUUUGGACAGGUAAGUGCUAAUGUUAGCUCCAGUCCUGGUGCUAUUAGUGAGGUUAAGAAAUUUUGUAUUAAAUCCUUCUUUCUUAGUUCUAU